AUGGCCACCCCGACGGAACCCCGCGACGGCUUGCUGGCUACACGGCGGAGCCCGGAGCCGGCGGCUCAAGACGAUGCGCAGAUGCCGCAAGAGCCAGCAGGUGUCUCAUUGUUGAAGGAGGCUCUCCACACUGCAACAUUGGAGGAAUCGUCUGGCGCUUCCUCUUCCUCUCUGCUGGUGGAUGCAGUGUCUCAUGAUGAGACCAUUCUGGUCUCCCCACCAUCAGGCCGCUUGUCUCCUGGUCCUGGGCCACCCGUUACGUCCCGGAGACCUUGUGGUUGGCCCAAGACAUUUAUCAUCAGAACUGACCGUGAGGGAUCUGUUCAUAUGUAUCCUCCUAUUGGUGGGCCAUUUCAGAGCUUACAGGAAGCUGAUGAUGCUAUUGUGCGCCAUCUUGAUGAUCUGCGGGAUAAGACAGUGUGCCUAGCUGACCUUUCCUUGAUGGAGAAAGUUGUACAGCAUGCGCUUUACUGGCCUGAUGGCACAAGGAAGAAGCUUUCAAAGUCAUCAGUAGAUCCGGAAAGGAUUAACCAUACACGCCUAUUGGUUCAAGCUCUACUGGACAAAUAUAAUGAGGACCACAAUCUUUUGUGGCAUCGUAAAUUUGUUCUUUGCCGAAGUCGCGCGUAUCGGAGGAGCAUAUAA
rnacentral:rRNA from 1 species